CCUACGGGCGGCAGCAGUGGGGAAUAUUGGACAAUGGGGGCAACCCUGAUCCAGCCAUGCCGCGUGUGUGAAGAAGGCCCUCGGGUUGUAAAGCACUUUCAGUGAGGAAGAACGCCUGGUGGUUAAUACCCAUCAGGAAAGACAUCACCCACAGAAGAAGCACCGGCUAACUCCGUGCCAGCAGCCGCGGUAAUACGGAGGGUGCGAGCGUUAAUCGGAAUUACUGGGCGUAAAGCGCGCGUAGGUGGCUUGAUAAGCCGGUUGUGAAAGCCCCGGGCUCAACCUGGGAACGGCAUCCGGAACUGUCAAGCUAGAGUGCAGGAGAGGAAGGUAGAAUUCCCGGUGUAGCGGUGAAAUGCGUAGAGAUCGGGAGGAAUACCAGUGGCGAAGGCGGCCUUCUGGACUGACACUGACACUGAGGUGCGAAAGCGUGGGUAGCAAACAGGAUUAGAUACCCCGGUAGUC
rnacentral:rRNA from 1 species